UUUGACUUUUCUUUAGUUUCAACUUUAAAAAUUAAAACAAACACAUUAGUUUUUGUUAAAAGAAAAAUGAUUCUAAAAUUGCUAAUCGUAGUAAUUUACUCCGUGAUAUCAGUAAAUACCUUCCAAACCACUAUGUCAAGUAGAGAAUCCUACGAACUUGAAUUUAUGUCAUACGGUUGAGAGCUACAAUUUACACUUUUAGAUAAAUCAAUUGUCUGCCCAGGUGUGUAUGUCGCACCCCAAAUAUUCAUCACUGAUUCUUUCUGUAUAAGGAAUUCUGAUUAUCAUGUAACAAUAAAAGAAGCGUACGUUGUAAGAACAUCUAUCAACAGUCAAAAAAAUAUUGAAAUUCUCAAAGUCAAGGUCACCGAUAUAAAUUUCGCCGAAGACCGAAAAGAAGCUAAAGUAGUGAUAGUUCACACUGAUCCGAUUGAUUCUAAAUAUAAG